rnacentral:rRNA from 1 species
UACGUAGGUGACCAGCGUUGUCCGGAUUUACUGGGCGUAAAGAGCGCGCAGGCGGUCGUUCAAGUCGAGUGUGAAAGCCCCCGGCUCAACUGGGGAGGGUCACUCGAUACUGAUCGACUCGAAGGCAGGAGAGGGUAGUGGAAUUCCCGGUGUAGUGGUGAAAUGCGUAGAUAUCGGGAGGAACACCAGUGGCGAAGGCGACUACCUGGCCUGUUCUUGACGCUGAGGCGCGAAAGCUAGGGGAGCAAACGGG